rnacentral:rRNA from 1 species
AGACCCAGGGAACUGAAACAUCUAAGUACCUGGAGGAAGAGAAAGAAAAAUCGAUUUCCUGAGUAGCGGCGAGCGAAACGGAAAGAGCCCAAACCAAGAAGCUUGCUUCUUGGGGUUGUAGGACACUCUAUACGGAGUUACAAAAGAAAGUUAUAAAUGAAGCGGUCUGGAAAGGCCCGCCAAAGACGGUAACAGCCCGGUAGUUGAAAUGGCUUUCCCUCCAGAGUGGAUCCUGAGUACGGCGGAACACGUGAAAUUCCGUCGGAAUCCGGGAGGACCAUCUCCCAAGGCUAAAUACUCCCUAGUGACCGAUAGUGAACCAGUACCGUGAGGGAAAGGUGAAAAGCACCCCGGAAGGGGAGUGAAACAGUUCCUGAAACCGUGUGCCUACAAGUAGUUAGAGCCCGUUAAUGGGUGAUAGCGUGCCUUUUGUAGAAUGAACCGGCGAGUUACGAUUUGUUGCAAGGUUAAGCGGAAAAAGCGGAGCCGUAGCGAAAGCGAGUCUGAAUAGGGCGCAUAAGUAACAGGUCGUAGACCCGAAACCAGGUGAUCUACCCAUGUCCAGGAUGAAGGUAAGGUAAUACUUACUGGAGGUCCGAACCCACGCACGUUGAAAAGUGCGGGGAUGAGGUGUGGGUAGCGGAGAAAUUCCAAUCGAACUUGGAGAUAGCUGGUUCUCUCCGAAAUAGCUUUAGGGCUAGCCUCGAGGUAAAGAGUCAUGGAGGUAGAGCACUGUUUGGACUAGGGGCCCUUCUCGGGUUACCGAAUUCAGAUAAACUCCGAAUGCCAUGUACUUAUACUCGGGAGUCAGACUGCGAGUGAUAAGAUCCGUAGUCGAAAGGGAAACAGCCCAGACCACCAGUUAAGGUCCCCAAAUAUAUGUUAAGUGGAAAAGGAUGUGGGGUUGCUUAGACAACCAGGAUGUUGGCUUAGAAGCAGCCACCAUUGAAAGAGUGCGUAAUAGCUCACUGGUCGAGUGACCCCGCGCCGAAAAUGUACCGGGGCUAAACAUAUUACCGAAACUGUGGAUGAACCUCUUCGGAGGUUCGUGGUAGGAGAGCGUUCUAAGGGCGGUGAAGUCAGACCGGAAGGACUGGUGGAGCGCUUAGAAGUGAGAAUGCCGGUAUGAGUAGCGAAAGAAGGGUGAGAAUCCCUUCCACCGAAUAUCUAAGGUUUCCUGAGGAAGGCUCGUCCGCUCAGGGUUAGUCGGGACCUAAGCCGAGGCCGAUAGGCGUAGGCGAUGGACAACAGGUAGAGAUUCCUGUACCAGUGCUAAUUGUUUAACCGAUGGGGUGACACAGAAGGAUAGGGAAUCGCACGAAUGGAAAUGUGCGUCCAAGCAGUGAGUGUGAG